UUUGGUUAGAUGAUUAGAUAAUUGUGAUUUCAUCCUUUAAUUCCUCCUACAAUCAUUUUAAUAUGUAUUGUACAACACAAUUUAUGCCCGGGCCCAACAAGAAGAAAAAAAUAAGCCGAACAGAAAACCCAAACAGCCCAACACCAAAUAAAAAAGAAGAGAAAAAACCCUAGCCCUAGGUCUUCUGCCGUCAACUGGUUACCUGCCCUCUGUGCGCCGCUGCCACCACCGACCGCCACCAACUCGUCCAUCACCCUGCAAAAGGGAACAAACACGCAAAUAGCAGCGAAAAUGACAGCAAAGAAAUUUAGAAAUAGAUAGGCUAUAAAAGCCAAACAUUACUUUUUGUAUUUGGACUGACAAAAAAGAAAUCAGUGAAUGAAAAGAAAAAAUUAAGAAAAAGGUUGAUUACAUUUCUUCUUCUGUUCUUGUGUGUUCUUUACUUUCUUUAUUUUCCUUAUUUUAUUUUAUUUUAUUUUUGUAUGCUUUACUACCCUUUUUAACAUAAACGAAAUAAAAAAUAUAAGAAAGAGGUACCAGAAUCACCCUGUCGUCUUACCGUCCUGGCCGUCGCCGGAUUUGAAUCGGGAUAAGGGGAUAAGGGGCCUUUCUUUUCGGUUUUGGGGGUCAAAAAACCCGAGUCUUCGGGUUUAUAUUAAAACCCAGGCACCCUUCGCUCCUCGUCAGCCUUUGGUCGCAGUGACCACGGCGAAUCGCCGUUGGAGUCCGCCGGAGCUCGAAAGGGGAUGAAGCGGCUAAAGGAGCAGGGAGGGAAUUUUUUUUUUUUAUUUCUG
rnacentral:lncRNA from 1 species